rnacentral:rRNA from 1 species
AACGAACGCUGGCGGCAUGCCUAACACAUGCAAGUCGAACGAGACCUUCGGGUCUAGUGGCGCACGGGUGAGUAACGCGUGGGAACCUGCCCUUAGGUUCGGAAUAACUCCCCGAAAGGGGUGCUAAUACCGGAUAAUGUCUUCGGACCAAAGAUUUAUCGCCUUUGGAUGGGCCCGCGUUGGAUUAGCUAGUUGGUAGGGUAAAAGCCUACCAAGGCGACGAUCCAUAGCUGGUCUGAGAGGAUGAUCAGCCACACUGGGACUGAGACACGGCCCAGACUCCUACGGGAGGCAGCAGUGGGGAAUAUUGGACAAUGGGCGAAAGCCUGAUCCAGCAAUGCCGCGUGAGUGAUGAAGGCCUUAGGGUUGUAAAGCUCUUUUACCCGGGAUGAUAAUGACAGUACCGGGAGAAUAAGCGCCGGCUAACUCCGUG